GACGUAGGGCGCGAGCGUUGUCCGGAUUUAUUGGGCGUAAAGAGCUCGUAGGCGGCUUGUUGCGUCGGCUGUGAAAACCCAUGGCUCAACCGUGGGCUUGCAGCCGAUACGGGCAGGCUAGAGUUCGGUAGGGGAGACUGGAAUUCCUGGUGUAGCGGUGAAAUGCGCAGAUAUCAGGAGGAACACCGGUGGCGAAGGCGGGUCUCUGGGCCGAUAUUGACGCUGAGGAGCGAAAGCGUGGGGAGCGAACAGG
rnacentral:rRNA from 1 species